UGUGAACUCGAAGAGUAGGGCGGGACACGUGGUAUCCUGUCUGAAUAUGGGGGGACCAUCCUCCAAGGCUAAAUACUCCUGACUGACCGAUAGUGAACCAGUACCGUGAGGGAAAGGCGAAAAGAACCCCGGCGAGGGGAGUGAAAAAGAACCUGAAACCGUGUACGUACAAGCAGUGGGAGCACCUUCGGGUGUGACUGCGUACCUUUUGUAUAAUGGGUCAGCGACUUAUAUUCUGUAGCAAGGUUAACCGUAUAGGGGAGCCGCAGGGAAACCGAGUCUUAACUGGGCGUUAAGUUGCAGGGUAUAGACCCGAAACCCGGUGAUCUAGCCAUGGGCAGGUUGAAGGUUGGGUAACACUAACUGGAGGACCGAACCGACUAAUGUUGAAAAAUUAGCGGAUGACUUGUGGCUGGGGGUGAAAGGCCAAUCAAACCGGGAGAUAGCUGGUUCUCCCCGAAAGCUAUUUAGGUAGCGCCUCGUGAACUCAUCUUCGGGGGUAGAGCACUGUUUCGGCUAGGGGGUCAUCCCGACUUACCAACCCGAUGCAAACUACGAAUACCGAAGAAUGUUAUCACGGGAGACACACGGCGGGUGCUAACGUCCGUCGUGAAGAGGGAAACAACCCAGACCGCCAGCUAAGGUCCCAAAGUCAUGGUUAAGUGGGAAACGAUGUGGGAAGGCACAGACAGCCAGGAUGUUGGCUUAGAAGCAGCCAUCAUUUAAAGAAAGCGUAAUAGCUCACUGGUCGAGUCGGCCUGCGCGGAAGAUGUAACGGGGCUAAACCAUGCACCGAAGCUGCGGCAGCGACACUAUGUGUUGUUGGGUAGGGGAGCGUUCUGUAAGCCUGCGAAGGUGACCUGUGAGGGUUGCUGGAGGUAUCAGAAGUGCGAAUGCUGACAUAAGUAACGAUAAAGCGGGUGAAAAGCCCGCUCGCCGGAAGACCAAGGGUUCCUGUCCAACGUUAAUCGGGGCAGGGUGAGUCGACCCCUAAGGCGAGGCCGAAAGGCGUAGUCGAUGGGAAACAGGUUAAUAUUCCUGUACUUGGUGUUACUGCGAAGGGGGGACGGAGAAGGCUAUGUUAGCCGGGCGACGGUUGUCCCGGUUUAAGCAUGUAGGCUG
rnacentral:rRNA from 4 species